UUUGUUUCUGUCUUGGAGGCGGAAAUAGACCUUAUAUAGUACACAUUGUAUAAUGUACAAAGUUGGUCGCUGUCUAAGGAGAACUUGGUGGGUGUCAAGAACCCUCUUUAUGCUCUGAAAUCCAGAACAGCUCUGGCCUUGUCUCCUUCGAGGAGUCUGCCAGAAAGACAGACGUUUAGGUCCCUGCCUUGGCUCCCAGCUCUGGCUCUUUUCUUAUUUUAAAGCCGCUAAGAAGGGAGACGUGCGAGGUCUAUGAUCUGUAAGCAUAAAGGAUUUUUAAACUAAACAAGAAAACCAAUUAUUUUUCUAACUGCUUUACUCUUUCAAAUCUUUCACUGUAAUGGAGAUUUAGAACCCAUCACAGUUGGGCUAUUAUUUCUGUGUAAACAGUGUCAUGCCCUAUUGCACCAGGCAAACAGUCAAUUUUUUCCAUUACACUUAGACACAGAUGACGAAGGUACAGAGUCCAUGGUCUGCCGAGUAGGUUUUAGUUGAUGAGUGUGCAUGACUGUGAUUGGCAAUGAGGAAAGGGUUAAGAUUUUUUUUUUAAACCCUGGAGUACUCUCUUGGCCCCAGAGUCCUGUCACACUAAAGGCUCAAAGACAGAGAAGAGUUGAGCAGACCUCAAGGGCAGCCAAUCAAAGGUUUCUUCAAGUUGGUAGGAUAGUGUGAUCCUCGGGGUUUGUUUCUUCAGGGUCUGGUCAUGGAGCUUUUGAAGUGCACACCUGUUCUAGUUUGGGCUCAGUCGCUGUGACAGAACGCUGACCAAACGCAGCUUGAGGAGGAAUGGGUUUGCUUGGUUUACAUCCCUCAUCAUGGUCCAUCGUUGAGGGAACCCGAGGUAGGAACUCCAGCGGGGCAGGGACCUGGAGGUGGGAACUGAAGCAGAGACCGUGGAGAAGUCCUACUCACUGGCUUGCUCUUGAAGCUCAUUUUCAGUGACCUUCCUUCCAUCUCCCAGGACCACUGUCUACAAGUGGAAUGCCCACAGUUGCCUGGGCCCUCCCAUAUCAAUCGUUAAUGAAGAAAAUACUUCCAUAGACUUGCCUACAGGCCAGUCUUCUGCCAAGAUGACCCAAUUUGUAUCAAGAUGACC
rnacentral:lncRNA from 1 species